rnacentral:rRNA from 1 species
AAUCAGGAAUUUUGCGCAAUGGACGAAAGUCUGACGCAGCGACGCCGCGUGAAGGAUGAAGGCCUUCGGGUUGUAAACUUCUUUUAUGAGGGAACAAGUUCUGAGUGUACCUCAUGAAUAAGGUUCUGCAAACUACGUGCCAGAAGCAUCGGUGAUACGUAGGAACCAAACAUUAUCCGGAUUUACUGGGCGUAAAGAGAUGCGUAGGCGUCUUGGUAAGUUCUAUGUUAAAUCUUCGGGCUUAACCCGGAAACCGCAUGGAAAACUACCUUGAUUGAGUCAGCUAGAGGAAGACGGAAUUCCCGGUGUAGCAGUGAAAUGCGUUGAUAUCGGGAAGAACACCAAUGGCGAAGGCAGUCUUCUGGGGCUUGACUGACGCUAAGGCUCGAAAGCGUGGGGAGCAAAACGGAUUAGAUACCCGUGUAGUCCACGCCCUAAACUAUCUCCGCUAAUUGUCGGGACUGGCUUAG